GACGAACGCUGGCGGCGUGCUUAACACAUGCAAGUCGAACGGAAAGGCCCUGCUUUUGUGGGGUGCUCGAGUGGCGAACGGGUGAGUAACACGUGAGUAUCCUGCCCUUGACUUUGGGAUAUCUUCAGGAAACUGGGGCUAAUACAGGGUAGGAGCUCCUGAUGCAUGGGGGGGGUUGGAAAGUUUCGGCGGUUGGGGCUGGACUCGCGGCUUAUCAGCUUGUUGGUGGGGUAGUGGCUUACCAAGGCUUUGACGGGUAGCCGGCCUGAGAGGGUGACCGGCCACAUUGGGACUGAGAUACGGCCCAGACUCCUACGGGAGGCAGCAGUGGGGAAUAUUGCACAAUGGGCGGAAGCCUGAUGCAGCAACGCCGCGUGCGGGAUGACGGCCUUCGGGUUGUAAACCGCUUUCGCCUGUGACGAAGCGUGAGUGACGGUAAUGGGUAAAGAAGCACCGGCUAACUACGUG
rnacentral:rRNA from 1 species